GUUUUAAACUGUAAGCAAGUCAUCUUUGUUAAUAUAAAGCCACCUCCAACUGGUUCAGGCUCAAGCUGACCUUCAUUAUGAUACCUUGCUCCUUGUGCAAUCUCUCUCUCUCUCUCUCAAACAGAAAAAGUUUUAAAAUUGUUGCAAUAUUAACCCUGAAGUAGGGGGCAGCUAAAAGAUAAGUGUUAAAUGCCCACCAACAACUUCUUUAGCCUCUUUUUUUCUUGAAACCUUGUAGCACAUUCUUCCUUAUUCCAAGCUUGGAAGCAACCACCUCAUUCUUCUCUCUCUCUCUCUCUCUCUCUC
rnacentral:misc_RNA from 1 species